UGCUGUGAAAACUAUAGUAUGUAUCUUUUUAGUGGACACUUGUAUGCUCUUCUCUCCAGGAUAGAAUUGUUGGGUCUCAGGAAACACACAGGCUCAGCAUUGGUAGAUACACAAGAGCUUGUCGAAGUAGCUGUAAACACUCAACUACAUUGAAAAGUCACCAGGGGAUGGUCUUGGGAGAUGGCUCCAGAGGACCGUCAUAUAGAGCAGGGGCUGAGAACUGUUGUAUAGCGGCUGUGAGUCUAGAGACCGGGAUGCUGAGGAGCUGGGAUUGCAAUUGGCAUAGGGUUCGUAGAUACGGGUCUCUUGUGUAGCCGUGGUGGGAUAGGGUCUCUGGAGGAGGAAGUGUGGAUUAUUAAGCCAGGAGAGGCAAGAGAUGUCGUGACAUAAAGUGCAUUCGGUGCCCUGGGAACAUCAGCCGAAGUGCAGACACUAUGUCAUAAGACUAAUUAUGAGACAUGAAUUCACCGGCUGUCUAUGUGCUUAUCAGGCUGGGAGUGGGAGGGAGAGAGGUUGGCGUUAUGGCUGGGCCACCAGAGGAAGACAUGGACUCUUGUUUCGGCUGAGGCCCUAACUGGCUGUGUGAGCCUAGGCAAACCGGCUCAUGUCUCCAGAUCUCAGUUACAGAGUGUUCCGCCUGGAUGGCCCCUCAGCUCUGUCCCAGCUCUGACAGCCCAUUUAUCUGCUGUGACUCCAGGGGUGCCAGGAAGACUGGAGAGUUGGCAGACUGCUAGAGCCGUAUAAGCCCCUAGAAAAGGUGCAAAGCGUGUUAAUCCUCACAGCAGAGACCAAUGGACGUGGUCCUGCUUGAGCAUCCAUCUGGCUAUUGAACCUCAGGAGACCCUGAAGAGUCCCAGCUAUGUUGAUACAGGUGAACAGAGAGACCAUUUGCUCAAGGAUGUACAGCUGGUACUCUCAUCCAGUCUCAGUCUGACUGCAAAGCUAUUCUCUUAGCAAUGCCUAGGAAAUGUCACAAGUGUGCAAAUGUGUUUAUGAAUACAUACACACACAUCCUUUAAAAAGGUAUGUGUGCAUGGUGUGUAUAUGUAAGUAAAGGUCCUUACUGGCAAGCCUUCUGACCUGAGUUCAAGGCCCAGAAACCACAUGGUGGAAGAGAACUGACUCCUAUAAGUUGCUCUGACCCCCACAUAGAUGCUGUGGUAUGUGCACACACACACAAUAAGUAAAACAUUUUUCUUUUUCAGUGAGAUAGCUCAGGAACUAAAAAGAAGCACUUGGCAUCCAAGUCUGAUGAGCUGAACUUGAUCUCUGGAACCCACUGCUGUGGAGUAAUCCUUUUGUACACCAUGAAGAUGGGUUGCUCUCAUUGUUAAUAAAGAGCUGACUGGCCUAUAGCUGGGCAGGGGCGCCAGACUAGGAGGAUGCUGGGAAGAAGAAGGGUGGAGACAGGGAGACAAGCAAGAUAAACAUGCAGUGUUGAAAGAAGGUACCACCAUGUGGCAGAGGGUAGAUAAGAAAUACUGGUUAAUGACUUGUAAGAGCUAGUUCAUAUAAAGCCUAAGCUAUCGGCUGAGCAUUUAUAAUUAAUAAUAAAUCUCUGUGCAGUUAUUUGGGAGUGGGCUGGUGGGACAGAGCUGACUGGCGGUCCUGAUGAAAAACUCUGCCUACAACCCACAGUGGAAGGAGAGAUUUGUCCUCUAAUGUCCACAUAUUUCCACACUCAAAUAUAUUAGGGGGUUGAGCAGAUGGCUCUGAGGGCAAGAACUUGCUGCUAAACCAUGCUAAGCGUGAGGACCUGAAUUCAAAUUCCCAGAAUCCAUAUGAAAAACCAACCAUAUUCGUAGUUUGUCCUCUUGUAGGAAUGAGCGAAUAGCCUGAGGUUGCCCCCUCGGCCACUUACCAUGUUG